rnacentral:misc_RNA from 1 species
CCUUGUUGUUAAGCCCAAAUGCGUUCUUCUCCCAAACAGAAACUGUCACGAACAAGUUUCCUUUCUUUCUACGUUCCUUUCUGUUCGCUAUUCUUCCCUUAUUGCAAAAUCUAUGGAUUACGAUUUUAGGAACAGGGCGGCCUCACCGUACGAUAAACAAAUUCCUAUCUACAGGACUUCUUCUUCGUCAUCGGCGCCGUCUAGCCACCCUAUGUACGGACAGUCUCUCUAUCCGAGAAUCGGUCAACAGGGCCACACGGCAGUGCCUCCUGCUGGCCGCCACUCCUCAUAUCACCAAACUUCCGCUCCUUCGCACUCUUCUUCAGGAUUAGGCAUUCGAGUUGCUGUAAAGCCAGAGUAUCGGAUCACUCCUCCG